AUGUCAUUCAGAUCUCUGAUUAAAGGAGAUCCAUUCCAAGCACUGAAUUCAUGGGGAAACCAGUCGAUCCCUAUGUGCCAAUGGUGCGGAGUGGCCUGUGGCACGCGUGGCCGCCGCCGCGGCCGUGUCGUAGCACUGGAUCUUCACGGCCUCAACCUUCUUGGCAUCAUUGCCUCUUCCGUAGGUAAUCUGACUUACCUCAGGCAUUUUGGCCUUAAAGAGAAUCGCUUUUACGGUACCAUACCAUCAGAGAUUGGACAUCUAGUACAACUCGAGUAUCUGAACCUCAGCAACAACUCCAUCGGCGGGGAGAUCCCGCCGACAUUGGCCACUUGUGUGCAGCUUCGAGUCGGGAAUUGA
rnacentral:rRNA from 1 species